UGGGGGAGUAGCCUUUCGAAAGGAAGAUUAAUACCGCNUAAGAUUGUAGUAUCGCAUGAUAUAGCAAUUAAAGGAGCAAUUCGCUAUAAGAUGGACCCGCGUCGCAUUAGCUAGUUGGUGAGGUAAUGGCUCACCAAGGCGACGAUGCGUAGCCGACCUGAGAGGGUGAUCGGCCACAUUGGGACUGAGACACGGCCCAGACUCCUACGGGAGGCAGCAUG
rnacentral:rRNA from 1 species